rnacentral:rRNA from 1 species
ACUGCUCAGUAACACGUGGAUAACCUGCCCUUGGGUCCGGCAUAACCCCGGGAAACUGGGGAUAAUUCCGGAUAACGCACAUAUGCUGGAAUGCUUUAUGCGUAAAAUGGAUUCGUCUGCCCAAGGAUGGGUCUGCGGCCUAUCAGGUAGUAGUGGGUGUAAUGUACCUACUAGCCAACAACGGGUACGGGUUGUGAGAGCAAGAGCCCGGAGAUGGAUUCUGAGACAUGAAUCCAGGCCCUACGGGGCGCAGCAGGCGCGAAAACUUUACAAUGCGGGAAACCGUGAUAAGGGGACACCGAGUGCCAGCAUCAUAUGCUGGCUGUCCAGGUGUGUAAAAUACACCUGUCAGCAAGGGCCGGGCAAGACCGGUGCCAGCCGCCGCGGUAACACCGGCGGCCCGAGUGGUGAUCGUGAUUAUUGGGUCUAAAGGGUCCGUAGCCGGUUUGGUCAGUCCUCCGGGAAAUCUGACGGCUCAACCGUUAGGCUUUCGGGGGAUACUGCCAGGCUUGGAACCGGGAGAGGUAAGAGGUACUACAGGGGUAGGAGUGAAAUCUUGUAAUCCCUGUGAGACCACCUGUGGCGAAGGCGUCUUACCAGAACGGGUUCGACGGUGAGGGACGAAAGCUGGGGGCACGAACCGGAUUAGAUACCCGGGUAGUCCCAGCCGUAAACGAUGCUCGCUAGGUGUCAGGCAUGGCGCGACCGUGUCUGGUGCCGCAGGGAAGCCGUGAAGCGAGCCACCUGGGAAGUACGGCCGCAAGGCUGAAACUUAGAGGAAUUGGCGGGGGAGCAC